AGACUUUUUAACUAUAAUUAAGUAUAUAUUUUGAAAAUAUAAAAAAGAAUUUUUUUUUCUAAAAGUCUU
rnacentral:tRNA from 1 species